AUUGAACGCUGGCGGCAGGCCUAACACAUGCAAGUCGAGCGGUUGAGAUAGCUUGCUAUCGAUGCAGCGGCGAACGGGUGAGUAAUGCAUGGGAAUCUGCCUGGUAGUGGGGGACAACGUUUCGAACGGAACGCUCAUACCGCAUACGCCCUACGGGGGAUAGGGGGGGCUCUUCGGUCCUCUCGCCAUCAGAUGAGCCCAUGCCGGAUUAGCUAGUUGGGGGGGUAAAGGCGCACCAAGGCGACGAACCGUAGCUGGUAUGAGAGGAUGAUCAGCCACACUGGAACUGAGACACGGACCAGACUCCUACGAGAGGCAGCAGUGGGGAAUAUUGGACAAUGGGGGCAACCCUGAUCCAGCCAUGCCGCGUGUGUGAAGAAGGCCUUAGGGUUGUAAAGCACUUUCAGUGGGGAGAAAGGUGAUUCACCUAAUACGUGAGUCAAUUGAUGCUACCCACAGAAGAAGCACCGGCUAACUCCGUGCCAGCAGCCGCAGUAA
rnacentral:rRNA from 1 species